AUUGAACGCUGGCGGCAUGCUUUACACAUGCAAGUCGAACGGUAACAGGCCGCAAGGUGCUGACGAGUGGCGAACGGGUGAGUAAUGCAUCGGAACGUGCCCAGUCGUGGGGGAUAACUACUCGAAAGAGUAGCUAAUACCGCAUACGAUCUAUGGAUGAAAGCGGGGGACCGUAAGGCCUCGCGCGAUUGGAGCGGCCGAUGUCAGAUUAGGUAGUUGGUGGGGUAAAGGCUCACCAAGCCAACGAUCUGUAGCUGGUCUGAGAGGACGACCAGCCACACUGGGACUGAGACACGGCCCAGACUCCUACGGGAGGCAGCAGUGGGGAAUUUUGGACAAAGGGCGCAAGCCUGAUCAAGCAAUGCCGCGUGCAGGAAGAAGGCCUUCGGGUUGUAAACUGCUUUUGUACGGAACGAAACGGCUCUGGUUAAUACCCGGGGCUAAUGACGGUACCGUAAGAAUAAGCACCGGCUAACUACGUG
rnacentral:rRNA from 1 species